rnacentral:rRNA from 1 species
GUUAAUGAGGCGAACCGGGGGAACUGAAACAUCUAAGUACCCCGAGGAAAAGAAAUCAACCGAGAUUCCCCCAGUAGCGGCGAGCGAACGGGGAGGAGCCCAGAGCCUGAAUCAGUGUGUGUGUUAGUGGAAGCGUCUGGAAAGGCGCGCGAUACAGGGUGACAGCCCCGUACACAAAAAUGCACAUACUGUGAGCUCGAUGAGUAGGGCGGGACACGUGGUAUCCUGUCUGAAUAUGGGGGGACCAUCCUCCAAGGCUAAAUACUCCUGACUGACCGAUAGUGAACCAGUACCGUGAGGGAAAGGCGAAAAGAACCCCGGCGAGGGGAGUGAAAAAGAACCUGAAACCGUGUACGUACAAGCAGUGGGAGCCUCUUAAUGGGGUGACUGCGUACCUUUUGUAUAAUGGGUCAGCGACUUAUAUUCUGUAGCAAGGUUAACCGAAUAGGGGAGCCGAAGGGAAACCGAGUCUUAACUGGGCGUUAAGUUGCAGGGUAUAGACCCGAAACCCGGUGAUCUAGCCAUGGGCAGGUUGAAGGUUGGGUAACACUAACUGGAGGACCGAACCGACUAAUGUUGAAAAAUUAGCGGAUGACUUGUGGCUGGGGGUGAAAGGCCAAUCAAACCGGGAGAUAGCUGGUUCUCCCCGAAAGCUAUUUAGGUAGCGCCUCGUGAAUUCAUCUCCGGGGGUAGAGCACUGUUUCGGCAAGGGGGUCAUCCCGACUUACCAACCCGAUGCAAACUGCGAAUACCGGAGAAUGUUAUCACGGGAGACACACGGCGGGUGCUAACGUCCGUCGUGAAGAGGGAAACAACCCAGACCGCCAGCUAAGGUCCCAAAGUCAUGGUUAAGUGGGAAACGAUGUGGGAAGGCCCAGACAGCCAGGAUGUUGGCUUAGAAGCAGCCAUCAUUUAAAGAAAGCGUAAUAGCUCACUGGUCGAGUCGGCCUGCGCGGAAGAUGUAACGGGGCUAAACCAUGCACCGAAGCUGCGGCAGCGACACUAUGUGUUGUUGGGUAGGGGAGCG